rnacentral:rRNA from 1 species
AUACUGGGUGUAAGCGCAUGCAUGCGGUUUAUUAAGCGAGAUGUGAAAGCCCCGGGCUCAACCUGGGAACUGCAUUUCCAACUGGCAAACUAGAGUUCUUGAGAGGGUGGUAAAAUUUCAGGUGUACCGGUGAAAUGCGUAGAGAUCUGAAGGAAUACCAGUGGCAAAGGCGGCCUCCUGGCAAGUAACUGACGCUCAGAUGCGAAAGCGUGGGUAGCAAACGGGAUUAGAUACCCCGGUAGUCCACGCCGUAAACGAUGUCUACUCGGAGUUUGGUUCCUUGAGAACUGGGCUCUUAAGCUAACGCAUUAAGUAGACCGCCUGGGGAGUACGGCCGCAAGGUUAAAACUCAAAUGAAUUGACGGGGGCCCGCACAAGCGGUGGAGCAUGUGGUUUAAUUCGAUGCAACGCGAAGAACCUUACCUACUCUUGACAUCCAUAGAACUUUUCAGAGAUGAAUUGGUGCCUUCGGGAACUAUGAGACAGGUGCUGCAUGGCUGUCGUCAGCUCGUGUUGUGAAAUGUUGGGUUAAGUCCCGCAACGAGCGCAACCCUUAUCCUUAUUUGCCAGCACGUAAUGGUGGGAACUCUAAGGAGACUGCCGGUGAUAAACCGGAGGAAGGUGGGGACGACGUCAAGUCAUCAUGGCCCUUACGAGUAGGGCUACACACGUGCUACAAUGGCGCAUACAAAGGGCUGCAAACCAGCGAUGGUAAGCGAAUCCCAUAAAGUGCGUCGUAGUCCGGAUUGGGGUCUGCAACUCGACCCCAUGAAGUCGGAAUCGCUAGUAAUCGUGAAUCAGAAUGUCACGGUGAAUACGUUCCCGGGCCUUGUACACACCGCCCGUCACACCAUGGGAGUGGGCUGCACCAGAAGUCAUUAGCUUAACCUUCGGGAGGGCGAUGACCACGGUGUGGUCAUGACUGGGUGAAG